rnacentral:rRNA from 1 species
GACGAACGCUGGCGGCGUGCUUAACACAUGCAAGUCGAGCGGAGCGGCGGACGGGUGAGUAAUGACUAGGAAACUGCCUGGUAGUGGGGGAUAACGUCCGGAAGCGGGCGCUAAUACCGCAUACUCGCAGAAGAGCCUAGGUCGGAUUAGAGAGUUGGUGGGGUAAAGGCCUGCCAAGGCGACUAGCCGUAACUGGUCUGAGAGGAUGAUCAGUCACACUGGAACUGAGACACGGUCCAGACUCCUACGGGAGGCAGCAGUGGGGAAUAUUGGACAAUGGGCGAAAGCCUGAUCCAGCCAUGCCGCGUGUGUGAAGAAGGUCUUCGGAUUGUAAAGCACUUUAAGUUGGGAGGCGUUACCAACAGAAUAAGCACCGGCUAACUUCGUGCCAGCAGCCGCGGUAAUUC